UACGGAGGGGACUAGCGUUGUUCGGAAUUACUGGGCGUAAAGCGCACGUAGGCGGAUUUGUAAGUCAGGGGUGAAAUCCCGAGGCUCAACCUCGGAACUGCCUUUGAUACUGCGAAUCUCGAGUCCGGAAGAGGUGAGUUGAAUUCCUAGUGUAGAGGUGAAAUUCGUAGAUAUUAGGAAGAACACCAGUGGCGAAGGCGGCUCACUGGUCCGGUACUGACGCUGAGGUGCGAAAGCGUGGGGAGCAGACAGG
rnacentral:rRNA from 1 species